AGUGAACGCUGGCGGUAGGCCUAACACAUGCAAGUCGAACGGCAGCACAGUAAGAGCUUGCUCUUACGGGUGGCGAGUGGCGGACGGGUGAGGAAUACAUCGGAAUCUACUUUUUCGUGGGGGAUAACGUAGGGAAACUUACGCUAAUACCGCAUACGACCUACGGGUGAAAGCAGGGGAUCUUCGGACCUUGCGCGAUUGGAUGAGCCGAUGUCGGAUUAGCUAGUUGGCGGGGUAAAGGCCCACCAAGGCGACGAUCCGUAGCUGGACUGAGAGGAUGAUCAGCCACACUGGAACUGAGACACGGUCCAGACUCCUACGGGAGGCAGCAGUGGGGAAUAUUGGACAAUGGGCGCAAGCCUGAUCCAGCCAUACCGCGUGGGUGAAGAAGGCCUUCGGGUUGUAAAGCCCUUUUGUUGGGAAAGAAAAGCAGCAGGUUAAUACCCCGCUGUUCUGACGGUACCCAAAGAAUAAGCACCGGCUAACUUCGUG
rnacentral:rRNA from 1 species